rnacentral:rRNA from 1 species
AACGAACGCUGGCGGCAUGCCUAACACAUGCAAGUCGAACGAAGUCUUCGGACUUAGUGGCGCACGGGUGCGUAACGCGUGGGAAUCUGCCCUUGGGUACGGAAUAACUCAGAGAAAUUUGUGCUAAUACCGUAUAAUGUCUUCGGACCAAAGAUUUAUCGCCCAAGGAUGAGCCCGCGUAAGAUUAGCUAGUUGGUGGGGUAAAAGCCUACCAAGGCGACGAUCUUUAGCUGGUCUGUGAGGAUGAUCAGCCACACUGGGACUGAGACACGGCCCAGGCUCCGACGGGCGGCAGCAGUGGAGAAUAUUGGACAAUGGGCGAAAGCCUGAUCCAGCAAUGCCGCGUGAGUGAUGAAGGCCUUAGGGUUGUAAAGCGCUUUUACCCGGGAUGAUAAUGACAGUACCGGGAGAAUAAGCUCCGGCUAACUCCGUGCCAGCAGCCGCGGUAAAAC